CCGGACCGAACGCCGAAUCCUGCCCGCGGUCCCGGUGUCCCCUCCGAGUCGUCACCUCGGGCAGGAGCGGGGGACCCACCUCGCAGUACCGGCCAGCGCCCCCUCCGGCGCGGGCCUUGGGGUGAAGCCCAUCGCGUGCUUGCUGCGCGAGGGCCGGGCAGCCCAGCCCGAACCCGACAGCUCACCUCGCAGGCGUACGGGAAGGACCA
rnacentral:sRNA from 2 species